GUACAGGUGAUGAUGGCAUAUUAGUAUGAGGUGACCUGUGAUACUGUAAACGCUUUCUGAUGUA